rnacentral:rRNA from 1 species
UCAUCGCAUGGUGGGGUGUGGAAAGGGUUUUACUGGUUUUGGAUGGGCUCACGGCCUAUCAGCUUGUUGGUGGGGUAAUGGCCUACCAAGGCGACGACGGGUAGCCGGCCUGAGAGGGUGACCGGCCACACUGGGACUGAGACACGGCCCAGACUCCUACGGGAGGCAGCAGUGGGGAAUAUUGCACAAUGGGCGCAAGCCUGAUGCAGCGACGCCGCGUGAGGGAUGACGGCCUUCGGGUUGUAAACCUCUUUCAGCAGGGAAGAAGCCACAAGUGACGGUACCUGCAGAAGAAGCGCCGGCUAACUACGUGCCAGCAGCCGCGGUAAUACGUAGGGCGCAAGCGUUGUCCGGAAUUAUUGGGCGUAAAGAGCUCGUAGGCGGUUUGUCGCGUCUGCUGUGAAAGCCCGGGGCUCAACCCCGGGUCUGCAGUGGGUACGGGCAGACUAGAGUGCAGUAGGGGAGACUGGAAUUCCUGGUGUAGCGGUGAAAUGCGCAGAUAUCAGGAGGAACACCGAUGGCGAAGGCAGGUCUCUGGGCUGUUACUGACGCUGAGGAGCGAAAGCAUGGGGAGCGAACAGGAUUAGAUACCCUGGUAGUCCAUGCCGUAAACGUUGGGCACUAGGUGUGGGGGACAUUCCACGUUCUCCGCGCCGUAGCUAACGCAUUAAGUGCCCCGCCUGGGGAGUACGGCCGCAAGGCUAAAACUCAAAGGAAUUGACGGGGGCCCGCACAAGCGGCGGAGCAUGCGGAUUAAUUCGAUGCAACGCGAAGAACCUUACCAAGGCUUGACAUCCACCGGACCGCACUGGAGACAGUGCUUCCCUUCGGGGCUGGUGGACAGGUGGUGCAUGGUUGUCGUCAGCUCGUGUCGUGAGAUGUUGGGUUAAGUCCCGCAACGAGCGCAACCCUCGUUCUAUGUUGCCAGCACGUGAUGGUGGGGACUCAUAGGAGACUGCCGGGGUCAACUCGGAAGAAAGGUGGGGAUGACGUCAAAUCA